GACGGAGGAUGCAAGUGUUAUCCGGAAUCACUGGGCGUAAAGCGUCUGUAGGUGGUUUAAUAAGUCAACUGUUAAAUCUUGAGGCUCAACUUCAAAAUCGCAGUCGAAACUAUUAGACUAGAGUAUAGUAGGGGUAAAGGAAGUUUCCAGUGGAGCGGUGAAAUGCGUAGAGAUUGGAAAGAACACCAAUGGCGAAAGCACUUACUGGGCUAUCACUGACACUGAGAGACGAAAGCUAGGGUAGCAAAUGGG
rnacentral:rRNA from 1 species